UUGCCAGACUCCUACGGGAGGCAGCAGUGAGGAAUAUUGGUCAAUGGCCGGGAGGCUGAACCAGCCAAGUCGCGUGAGGGAAGACGGCCCUACGGGUUGUAAACCUCUUUUGUCAGGGAGCAAGGUGCAGGUCGGGACCUGCUGUGAGAGUACCUGAAGAAAAAGCAUCGGCUAACUCCGUGCCAGCAGCCGCGGUAAUACGGAGGAUGCGAGCGUUAUCCGGAUUUAUUGGGUUUAAAGGGUGCGCAGGCGGAGGCACAAGUCAGCGGUAAAAUCGCGGGGCUCAACCCCGUCGUGCCGUUGAAACUGGCGUUCUUGAGUGAGCGAGAAGUAUGCGGAAUGCGUGGUGUAGCGGUGAAAUGCAUAGAUAUCACGCAGAACUCCGAUUGCGAAGGCAGCAUACCGGCGCUCAACUGACGCUCAUGCACGAAAGCGUGGGUAUCGAACAGGAUUAGAUACCCCCGUA
rnacentral:rRNA from 1 species